rnacentral:precursor_RNA from 1 species
CUUGAUGCCGACUUAGCUCAGUAGGUAGAGCAACUGACUUGUAAUCAGUAGGUCACCAGUUCGAUUCCGGUACUCGGCACCAUCAAGUCCGGUGGGGUUCCCGAGCGGCCAAAGGGAGCAGACUGUAAAUCUGCCGUCACAGACUUCGAAGGUUCGAAUCCUUCCCCCACCACCAAUUUCGGCCACGCGAUGGCGUAGCCCGAGACGAUAAGUUCGCUUACCGGCUCGAAUAAAGAGAGCUUCUCUCGAUAUUCAGUGCAGAAUGAAAAUCAGGUAGCCGAGUUCCAGGAUGCGGGCAUCGUAUAAUGGCUAUUACCUCAGCCUUCCAAGCUGAUGAUGCGGGUUCGAUUCCCGCUGCCCGCUCCAAGAUGUGCUGAUAUAGCUCAGUUGGUAGAGCGCACCCUUGGUAAGGGUGAGGUCGGCAGUUCGAAUCUGCCUAUCAGCACCACUUCUUUUCUCCUCCCUGUUUUUUCCUUCUGUUUAUUGCAUUCAACAAGUCGGGCAUGUUGCCUGGUUGAUGUGGUGAUAUCACCGAUUUAUCCGUGUCUUAGAGGGACAAUCGAUG